GUCUUUGGCUGUCCGAGUUGUAAUCUAGAGAAGUGUUGCCCGCGCUGGACCGUGUACAAGUCUCCUGGGAUGGAGCGUCAUAGAGGGUGAGAAUCCCGUCUUUGACACGGACUACCAGGGCUUUGUGGUAUGCUCUCAAAGAGUCGAGUUGUUUGGGAAUGCAGCUCAAAAUGGGUGGUAAAUUCCAUCUAAAGCUAAAUAUUGGCGAGAGACCGAUAGCGAACAAGUACCGUGAGGGAAAGAUGAAAAGAACUUUGGAAAGAGAGUUAAACAGUACGUGAAAUUGCUGAAAGGGAAACGCUUGAAGUCAGUCACAUUGGCUGGAAAUCAGCCUUGCUUUCUUGCAUGGUGUAUUUUCCGGCUGAUGGGUCAGCAUCAGUUUUGACCACUGGAAAAAGGCUUGAGGAAUGUGGCAGCUUUGGCUGUGUUAUAGCUUCAUGUCACAUACAGUGGUUGGGAUUGAGGAACUCAGCACGCCGCAAGGCCGGGUUUCGACCACGUUCGUGCUUAGGAUGCUGGCAUAAUGGCUUUAAGCGACCCGUCUUGAAACACGGACCAAGGAGUCUAACAUGCCUGCGAGUGUUUGGGUGGAAAACCCAAGUGCGUAAUGAAAGUGAAAGUUGAGAUCCCUGUCGUGGGGAGCAUCGACGCCCAGACCAGAACUUUUGGGACGGAUCUGCGGUAGAGCAUGUAUGUUGGGACCCGAAAGAUGGUGAACUAUGCCUGAAUAGGGUGAAGCCAGAGGAAACUCUGGUGGAGGCUCGUAGCGAUUCUGACGUGCAAAUCGAUCGUCAAAUUUGGUAUAGGGGCGAAAGACU
rnacentral:rRNA from 1 species